UACGAAGGGUGCGAGCGUUAUUCGGAAUGACUGGGUGUAAAGAGCGUGGAGGCGGUUUGUUAAGUUAGUUGUUAAAUCGCCCGGCUUAACCGGGCACAUGCGAUUAAAACUGACAAGCUAGAGUGCGAGAGAGAAAGGUAGAAUUCUCGGAGUAGCGGUAAAAUGCGUAGAUCUCGAGAGGAAUACCGGUUGCGAAGGCGGCCUUUUGGCUCGUUACUGACGCUGGAGCGCGAAAGCGUGGGGAGCAAACAGGAUUAGAUACCCUGGUAGUCCACGCUGUAAACGAUGAUCACUAGAUGUGGGACUUGCUUAGCAGGUUCUGUGUCGAAGCUAACGCGUUAAGUGAUCCACCUGGGAAGUACGGUCGCAAGAUUAAA
rnacentral:rRNA from 1 species